UAGGUGGAAGCUCGUUGGUUUGGGCAUCUAGCUGUUAAUUAGAGUUUUGUGGGAUCGAAGCCCACCCGCCUAG
rnacentral:tRNA from 1 species